rnacentral:rRNA from 1 species
GACGAACGCUGGCGGCGUGCUUAACACAUGCAAGUCGAACGGAAAGGCCUCUUUCGGGGGGUACUCGAGUGGCGAACGGGUGAGUAACACGUGAGUAACCUGCCCUUGACUUUGGGAUAACUUCAGGAAACUGGGGCUAAUACCGGAUAGGAGCUCCUGCUGCAUGGUGGGGGUUGGAAAGUUUCGGCGGUUGGGGAUGGACUCGCGGCUUAUCAGCUUGUUGGUGGGGUAGUGGCUUACCAAGGCUUUGACGGGUAGCCGGCCUGAGAGGGUGACCGGCCACAUUGGGACUGAGAUACGGCCCAGACUCCUACGGGAGGCAGCAGUGGGGAAUAUUGCACAAUGGGUGGAAGCCUGAUGCAGCAACGCCGAGUGCGGGAUGACGGCCUUCGGGUUGUAAACCGCUUUCGCUCAUGACGAAGCUUUGUGUGACGGUAGUGGGUAAAGAGGCACCGGCUAACUACGUG